UACAUACUGUGCGAACGUUAUUCGGAUUCACUGGGCUUAAAGGGUGCGUAGGCGGCUUGUUAAGUCGGGUGUGAAAGCCCCCAGCUCAACUGGGGAACUGCACUCUAUACUGGCGAGCUGGAGUGAGAUAGGGGUGUGUGGAACUGCCAGUGGAGCGGUGAAAUGUGUUGAUAUUGGCAGGAACGCCGGUGGCGAAAGCGACACACUGGGUCUCAACUGACGCUGAGGCACGAAAGCCAGGGGAGCGAACGGG
rnacentral:rRNA from 1 species